rnacentral:rRNA from 1 species
UUAAGCGACUAAGCGUACACGGUGGAUGCCCUGGCAGUCAGAGGCGAUGAAGGACGUGCUAAUCUGCGAAAAGCGUCGGUAAGGUGAUAUGAACCGUUAUAACCGGCGAUGUCCGAAUGGGGAAACCCAGUGUGAUUCGUCACACUAUCGUUAACUGAAUACAUAGGUUAACGAGGCGAACCGGGGGAACUGAAACAUCUAAGUACCCCGAGGAAAAGAAAUCAACCGAGAUUCCCCCAGUAGCGGCGAGCGAACGGGGAGCAGCCCAGAGUCUGAAUCAGCUUGUGUGUUAGUGGAACGGUCUGGAAAGUCCGACGGUACAGGGUGAUAGUCCCGUACACCAAAAUGCACAGGUUGUGAACUCGAAGAGUAGGGCGGGACACGUGGUAUCCUGUCUGAAUAUGGGGGGACCAUCCUCCAAGGCUAAAUACUCCUGACUGACCGAUAGUGAACCAGUACCGUGAGGGAAAGGCGAAAAGAACCCCGGCGAGGGGAGUGAAAAAGAACCUGAAACCGUGUACGUACAAGCAGUGGGAGCACCUUCGGGUGUGACUGCGUACCUUUUGUAUAAUGGGUCAGCGACUUAUAUUCUGUAGCAAGGUUAACCGUAUAGGGGAGCCGCAGGGAAACCGAGUCUUAACUGGGCGUUAAGUUGCAGGGUAUAGACCCGAAACCCGGUGAUCUAGCCAUGGGCAGGUUGAAGGUUGGGUAACACUAACUGGAGGACCGAACCGACUAAUGUUGAAAAAUUAGCGGAUGACUUGUGGCUGGGGGUGAAAGGCCAAUCAAACCGGGAGAUAGCUGGUUCUCCCCGAAAGCUAUUUAGGUAGCGCCUCGUGAACUCAUCUUCGGGGGUAGAGCACUGUUUCGGCUAGGGGGUCAUCCCGACUUACCAACCCGAUGCAAACUACGAAUACCGAAGAAUGUUAUCACGGGAGACACACGGCGGGUGCUAACGUCCGUCGUGAAGAGGGAAACAACCCAGACCGCCAGCUAAGGUCCCAAAGUCAUGGUUAAGUGGGAAACGAUGUGGGAAGGCACAGACAGCCAGGAUGUUGGCUUAGAAGCAGCCAUCAUUUAAAGAAAGCGUAAUAGCUCACUGGUCGAGUCGGCCUGCGCGGAAGAUGUAACGGGGCUAAACCAUGCACCGAAGCUGCGGCAGCGACACUAUGUGUUGUUGGGUAGGGGAGCGUUCUGUAAGCCUGCGAAGGUGUGCUGUGAGGCAUGCUGGAGGUAUCAGAAGUGCGAAUGCUGACAUAAGUAACGAUAAAGCGGGUGAAAAGCCCGCUCGCCGGAAGACCAAGGGUUCCUGUCCAACGUUAAUCGGGGCAGGGUGAGUCGACCCCUAAGGCGAGGCCGAAAGGCGUAGUCGAUGGGAAACAGGUUAAUAUUCCUGUACUUGGUGUUACUGCGAAGGGGGGACGGAGAAGGCUAUGUUAGCCGGGCGACGGUUGUCCCGGUUUAAGCAUGUAGGCUGGUUGUCCAGGCAAAUCCGGAUAAUCAAGGCUGAGGUGUGAUGACGAGGCACUACGGUGCUGAAGUAACAAAUGCCCUGCUUCCAGGAAAAGCCUCUAAGCAUCAGGUAACAUCAAAUCGUACCCCAAACCGACACAGGUGGUCAGGUAGAGAAUACCAAGGCGCUUGAGAGAACUCGGGUGAAGGAACUAGGCAAAAUGGUGCCGUAACUUCGGGAGAAGGCACGCUGGUGUGUAGGUGAAGCCCCUGCGGGUGGAGCUGAGACCAGUCGAAGAUACCAGCUGGCUGCAACUGUUUAUUAAAAACACAGCACUGUGCAAACACGAAAGUGGACGUAUACGGUGUGACGCCUGCCCGGUGCCGGAAGGUUAAUUGAUGGGGUUAUCCGUAAGGAGAAGCUCUUGAUCGAAGCCCCGGUAAACGGCGGCCGUAACUAUAACGGUCCUAAGGUAGCGAAAUUCCUUGUCGGGUAAGUUCCGACCUGCACGAAUGGCGUAAUGAUGGCCAGGCUGUCUCCACCCGAGACUCAGUGAAAUUGAACUCGCUGUGAAGAUGCAGUGUACCCGCGGCAAGACGGAAAGACCCCGUGAACCUUUACUAUAGCUUGACACUGAACAUUGAGCCUUGAUGUGUAGGAUAGGUGGGAGGCUUUGAAGCGUGGACGCCAGUCUGCGUGGAGCCAACCUUGAAAUACCACCCUUUAAUGUUUGAUGUUCUAACGUUGGCCCCUGACCGGGGUUGCGGACAGUGUCUGGUGGGUAGUUUGACUGGGGCGGUCUCCUCCCAAAGCGUAACGGAGGAGCACGAAGGUUAGCUAAUCCUGGUCGGACAUCAGGAGGUUAGUGCAAUGGCAUAAGCUAGCUUGACUGCGAGCGUGACGGCGCGAGCAGGUGCGAAAGCAGGUCAUAGUGAUCCGGUGGUUCUGAAUGGAAGGGCCAUCGCUCAACGGAUAAAAGGUACUCCGGGGAUAACAGGCUGAUACCGCCCAAGAGUUCAUAUCGACGGCGGUGUUUGGCACCUCGAUGUCGGCUCAUCACAUCCUGGGGCUGAAGUAGGUCCCAAGGGUAUGGCUGUUCGCCAUUUAAAGUGGUACGCGAGCUGGGUUUAGAACGUCGUGAGACAGUUCGGUCCCUAUCUGCCGUGGGCGCUGGAGAAUUGAGGGGGGCUGCUCCUAGUACGAGAGGACCGGAGUGGACGCAUCACUGGUGUUCGGGUUGUCAUGCCAAUGGCACUGCCCGGUAGCUAAAUGCGGAAGAGAUAAGUGCUGAAAGCAUCUAAGCACGAAACUUGCCCCGAGAUGAGUUCUCCCUGAGACUUUAAGUCUCCUGAAGGAACGUUGAAGACGACGACGUUGAUAGGCCGGGUGUGUAAGCGCAGCGAUGCGUUGAGCUAACCGGUACUAAUGAACCGUGAGGCUUAACCUU